rnacentral:rRNA from 1 species
UGGGGAAUAUUGGACAAUGGGCGCAAGCCUGAUCCAGCCAUGCCGCGUGGGUGAAGAAGGCCUUAGGGUUGUAAACCCCUUUCAGCGGGGAAGAUAAUGACGGUACCCGCAGAAGAAGUCCCGGCUAACUCCGUGCCAGCAGCCGCGGUAAUACGGAGGGGACUAGCGUUGUUCGGAAUUACUGGGCGUAAAGCGCGCGUAGGCGGACCUGCAAGUCGGGGGUGAAAGCCCGAGGCUCAACCUCGGAACUGCCUUCGAUACUGCGGGUCUCGAGUCCGGGAGAGGUGAGUGGAAUUCCUAGUGUAGAGGUGAAAUUCGUAGAUAUUAGGAAGAACACCAGUGGCGAAGGCGGCUCACUGGCCCGGUACUGACGCUGAGGCGCGAAAGCGUGGGGAGCAAACAGG